GAUGAACGCUGGCGGCGUGCCUAAUACAUGCAAGUCGAGCGAACAGAUAAGGCGCUUGCUCCUUUGACGUUAGCGGCGGACGGGUGAGUAACACGUGGAUAACCUCCCUAUAAGACUGGGAUAACUUCGGGAAACCGGAGCUAAUACCGGAUAACAUAUUGAACCGCAUGGUUCAAUAGUGAAAGGCGGCUUUGCUGUCACUUGUAGAUGGAUCCGCGCCGGAUUAGCUAGUUGGUAAGGUAACGGCCUACCAAGGCAACGAUGGGUAGCCGACCUGAGAGGGUGAGCGGCCACAUUGGGACUGAGAGACGGACCAGACGCCUACGGGAGGAAGCAGUGGGGAAUAUUGCACAAUGGGCGGAAGCCUGAUGCAGCAACGCCGCGUGCGGGAUGACGGGCUUCGGGUUGUAAACCGCUUUCGCCUGUGACGAAGCGUGAGUGACGGUAAUGGGUAAAGAAGCACCGGCUAACUACGUG
rnacentral:rRNA from 1 species